rnacentral:rRNA from 1 species
AACCUGCCUGUAAGACUGGGAUAACUCCGGGAAACCGGAGCUAAUACCGGAUAGUUCCUUGAACCGCAUGGUUCAAGGAUGAAAGACGGUUUCGGCUGUCACUUACAGAUGGACCCGCGGCGCAUUAGCUAGUUGGUGAGGUAACGGCUCACCAAGGCGACGAUGCGUAGCCGACCUGAGAGGGUGAUCGGCCACACUGGGACUGAGACACGGCCCAGACUCCUACGGGAGGCAGCAGUAGGGAAUCUUCCGCAAUGGACGAAAGUCUGACGGAGCAACGCCGCGUGAGUGAUGAAGGUUUUCGGAUCGUAAAGCUCUGUUGUUAGGGAAGAACAAGUGCAAGAGUAACUGCUUGCACCUUGACGGUACCUAACCAGAAAGCCACGGCUAACUACGUGCCAGCAGCCGCGGUAAUACGUAGGUGGCAAGCGUUGUCCGGAAUUAUUGGGCGUAAAGGGCUCGCAGGCGGUUUCUUAAGUCUGAUGUGAAAGCCCCCGGCUCAACCGGGGAGGGUCAUUGGAAACUGGGAAACUUGAGUGCAGAAGAGGAGAGUGGAAUUCCACGUGUAGCGGUGAAAUGCGUAGAGAUGUGGAGGAACACCAGUGGCGAAGGCGACUCUCUGGUCUGUAACUGACGCUGAGGAGCGAAAGCGUGGGGAGCGAACAGG